rnacentral:rRNA from 1 species
AUAUAAAUAAGCGGAGGAAAAGAAACUAACAAGGAUUGACGUAGUAAGGGCGACUGAACUGUCAAGAGCUCACCGUGUGAAUCAGCGUGCGCAAGUGCGUUGAAUUGUGGUUUGGAGGUGUGUGCACUAUUGCGCAGGGCAAAGUCCCUUGGAAGAGGGCAGCAUAGAGGGUGAUACUCCCGUUUGCCUUGUGCUUGGGCGUAUACCAAUGAGUCGAGUUGUUUGGGAUUGCAGCUCAAAGCCGGUGGUAAAUUCCAUCGAAAGCUAAAUAUUGGUGGGAGACCGAUAGCGCACAAGUACCGUGAGGGAAAGAUGCAAAGAACUUUGAAAAGAGAGUUAAAGAGUGCCUGAAAUUGCUGAGAAGGAAGCGAAGGAAAGUAGUGAGUAGCUGCGCCAUACUUCCUGACCUGCUUGCUGGUUGGGCGCUGUGGUCAGCGAGGUUCAACUUGGUUCGGUUGAUGGAAGUUGCAACAGCAACAGAAUGUUGCAGCUGCUUGACGUUGGCUGGACUGGGAGGAACGAAAUGGUUUUCUUUGCCCCG